UUUUCCAUUUACUUUUUGUUUAUUUAUUUAGCUAUUGUUUUGUAUUUUCUUUUAGCAUCAAAAUAUUUUUGUAAAAUGUUAAACCUUGCCAUAUAAUUACUAUGCAUUAUUGUGCACUGCCACAACAAGUUUGGGGUUCAAAAUAAUUUAUUAAGUUUGAGUUUAUUUUUAAAUGGGAUAAAAAGGUGUUGUUGGUCCACUGUUUUAAUAUCCAGGGGCAAUUUUAUAUUUUGAAUUUUUUUAAUUAUUUCAUGACAAAUUGUUAGUGAAUAUUUGCAACCCACCAAACAUUUUUGUUUUACCGUUUGAAGAAAUAAUAGUUUGACUUUAUUUUAAAUUUAAUUUGAAUCAGGUUUGGAUCAAAGUGAGGUUUAGCAAAUUACCGCAAUGACAUGGCAUCAUUAAGAGGGGAUUACUGUAGCUUGAUUAUCCGGGCGUCACAAUUCUCCUCCACUACAAGAAAUCUCGUCCCAAGAUUUAGGACCGGAGUAAGGGGGAAAGGGUCUGUUUAGGUAAUUCUAACGAAUCUCCUCGGUCUUGGUUGCUUUUCUCGAAGAGCUCAAUCCAUUAUAAUGAUGUCUUCAUUCCACUGCUUCAGGUCAUCAUUAUGAAGUCUUCAUCCUUUCUUCGGGGGUUCCAUCGUUCUUACGAAUAGGUAAUGGGGCAGAUUGGCAACGACAGAAUGCUAUAAGGGUAAUAAUCUGGGAUUAACCCAUGAAUGAUCAUACGAGUGCCUCUUGAGUUGAACAAUUAAAACACAUCAAGAGUAAAGUUCGAAGGUGCAAUAAGAAUUUUCAAGCAGAUAGAUAGUUGCUCGAAGUCUGAACCUGAGUGAGAAAGGGGUUCAGAGUAGCAAGAGUAAGUAUUACGUCUGCUACCAGAAUAGAGCACUAGGAAGGUGGCCCAUGAAUUAAAUACGAAGCCAAGCGUGGGGAAUAACCAUUAGAAACAGGAUUGUAUAGGAGAAUCAGGUUUCGAUCCUGUGGAACUAUGGGUUAUGGGCCCACCGUACGGGAUAAAGGUAGAAGGAGUGGUGACAUCUUGCAUGGUCAUGAUAACAAGGCAUGUCAGAGGGUAGCCUAUCAUUUAUGUCGAAAACAACGUCGGUACCAAGGGCGAGGGACGAAGAGAACCAUUCUCCUGCUCGUUGAACGAGGCGGACCAACAGGCAAAGUUCUCGUCCAUCGGUGGUUACCGGAAUGUCACAGCAAUAGUAACAGGGUCUUACCGUCACGAUUGUACACCUAGGUGUUUACUUAAGCAGAAGAAUAUUACUGCUUAGAUCAUAUAGAUCACCAGAAAGGUUAAACAAAACAAUGGAAAGGAAAAGGUGAUCAUCAGAUUAAAUAGAACAAUGGAAAGGAAAAUGUGCUUAAACACAUUCUUCAGGGGUAUAUCCUUCCCAAGGACAAACAGAGCAUGAUAUCCACGAUAGGAUAUAAUGUAGAAAACCCUUUAGGAAAGGGGAGAGAAAUUUCAUGACUUUACCCAUACCGUGGUGUUUGGAUAGUUGAGCAGGAAACAUUUAGCAUUGGGCUUCAAAUGUUCUCUUUGAAAAUCGAAGUAACAUAGACAUGCUUCAAGAUAGCAUUGACAUGGUCAUCAAGUGAAGAUCAGACUUCGGAUACACGAAGGAUCCAUCAGGAUAACUUAUUAAACAAGGCAUUCAAUUUCCUCAUGGAAAAAUGGUUAACCUUGUUAAAAAGGAAACUAUAACACUAGGUCCUCCGGUCAGGUGUGCUAGGCAUGACAUAACCUUAUCGGGUCAUUUAAAGACCAAAGUUAUGACUCUUGGACAGAGUUCCAGCCAUCAUAUCUGCUCGAGAUUCAGAUAUGAUUGGUCUCAGGAUAUGUCAGACUCGUGAUGCCUGAGAAGAAAAAGGUGCACACAAAUUGACGAGAUGACAUUAUAUGAUUCUCGGGAAAUGAACUAUGGAAGCGAGUUCCGAACAAGGGUUCAUCAUUAAGCCAAGGAGAGGAUGAGGAGGUGGCUGAUGGACUCAGCGAUAAUUCAACGUGGUAUCCAAAAAGGAUGGAUCUCCACAAUUAUGUGAACAAGGAGAUAACAUUUGUCAAAUCAAAUGAUAUAAUGAGGUAUGCUCGAGGAAAACAUACAUAGUUAAUCAUUUAUUGAAAGGUGCACCCGAAAUAUGGGCAUAGGUAGCAUGAUCUCAAGGUAUAACACAAAACACGAACAAGUUUGUGUUGAACAGAAGACAAUAAAGUGGUUGAUGAUAACACGAAUCAUCGAGGGGCAAGGAUGGUAUUGCCCAUCAAGAAUUCGAUAUAUAUAUAUAUAUAUUUGAAGAGCUUAGGAUGUUGAUGAUAAUCACGACACAGUUGUCGAGAGAUUUCAUGAAGAUGUAAUCGGUCGGCGAUGCCAUCAAGUCAAAUGAUGAUGAAGUGAAAAGUUAUGGGAGCCAAGGGUACGACACAAACUCGAAAUCAAGCUUGCUGUUCAAGAUGAAAUGAUAUGAUGAGAAAGAUCGACGUAAGUUUAGCUCAUCGUCGAAAGUUGUGCUCCGGGAUUAAGGACCAGGUGGCAUAGUUAGAAUCGGCACGAGAAUGAUAUAGCCGAGCAGGCUAGGAAUGACGUAAUCGAGUUCAAACUCAUAAGUAAUGAAGGUUACCAAGAGUUGUUUAAUCGCGGUGCAGACUCGAUUCAGUUAUCGAUGUCUUUGAGUGUUUAAUAACUCAGAGCCCGUGAAAAGUUAGAAUCAGUGAGAAUGUAGUACUUGAAGAAGAACUCAUAAGAAGUUAUGCAGUUCCGUGAUAAUCUUGAGAUACCAGGGUGUAAUACUCGAUGAAAGAUCAAAGUAAAGGUUGGACUGGUGUAUUGAUCCACAGAAGACAAGUGCUUAAACUUGCCCAAGAAAAGGAUCAAAGAUGAUCAAUCAUGGUCGGAACCACGGUUGCAAAGGACCAACAUAGAUACAAGAUGAACUUAUAACAAGGGGACCAUUAUUAAUACAAGAAGCUUCCAUGAUAAGUUCCACAUCGGGUCCAUAGGCAUGAACACAAAGUUCAAGGUCGACUCCCACUUCUCCAAAGCACGACCUUACAUUCACUUAUCGUUUCAAUUAUGGCAUUAGUGUUGAAAGUUUUACCUGGUGAAAUACCAGGUGAGUAUGGCCCGUGAAAUCUUUCGAGCUCACAUAGAUUAGGUAAGGCAUUGGUUCAACCCAUCGGGGCAUCUUAGAAACAUAUACCACAAGCUUCAAGAGUAAAUAUCACCAGCUCGAAAGUAGAGCAAGGUUGAGAAAGUAGAGGAUACAAUUUACCAAAGGCAUUAUGUAUCCAAGAGAAGGCUCACAAGGUUAUUGAAUAUGAAGUACGCUGUCGGGUAAAAUCCAUUAAAGGAUUUGUCGGUCCAUAGCGGAGCUGAUGUGAGCAUCGGCACACAACCAGAGGAAGUAACAAUGCAAAGGCAUUGGAUUAUUGAAACAACCGACUAAUUCAAAGCUCAAAUGCAAAUGAAUUAUGAUUUCCAAAUCAAAGGAUCAGAAGCAAACGCUCUGAUUAAGAAUGGAUAAGUUGAGUAAGCUUAGGGGUAAAAUCGACAACAAUUUGAUUGGUCGAGAUCCAGCUCAUGCUUAAUAUGUCGUCUGAGCCGAAAGGAUGAAUUCUAGGAUCUGAUUGAGGAUUGCGAGCAUUCGCAACAUAUUGAAUCAAUGGACUCAAAAUGAUAGUGACAAGGGCUGCCAAUAAGAUUACUAUACCUAUGGGAUUAACCAUAAUGAAAGCAAGCAAGAAUUUCAAGAAUAAUAGGCAGUCGAUGAUUUUCGGAAGAUCGAAUGGUACUUCGACGACUUUUGUGAAAUAUUUGAAUCAAAUGGGGAUGAGCGAAUACCCGAUAAGUGUGAGAAAUUAUCCGUAGGGGUAUUCAGGGGGCAAAGAACUGCAAGGCAGUAGGCACAAAGUUUUCUCGGUGUAAUGAAGAGAAUAUUGGGGUAUCUUGUAAUAACAAGAUCAACUGGAAUAAAAGUAAGAACGACGGGUGUAAGUAUUUAUCCAUAGGGAUAUUUUAGUGGUAGGGAAUUGCAAAAGCAACGGGCAUAAGGUCUCGAGAGAAUAUCAGAAGGUAUCUUCGAAAUCCUUCGAUGCAGCAGGCAGUCAGCGGUAACACGGGGCUCUCCGGGUGGAAGUGAUCACGAGAUCCUAAUGUUAGAGUUAGCAAAAUUCAUUUAACCCGAAUAGAAGAGAGAUCAGAGUCCCAGAGUAUAGAUGAGGAGUAAAAGAUCCUAAUACCACCCAAUGGCGACGUGGGCCCGUAAGCCGCACAACCAUGUUAGUAAAAGUUUUUCAAUGACUAGACUCGACUUCGGCCAAGAAGUUGGAAAGGGGGAUUCCUACAGAUAGUCGGCUCUGAUACCAACUUGUGACGCCCCGUUUCAACCGUACACUAAUCAUACACACAAACGUGUAUGAUCAAGAUCAGGGACUCACGGGAAGAUAUCAUAACAUAACUCUAUAAAUAAAAUAAGUCAUACAAGCAUCAUAUUACAAGCUAGGGGCCUCGAGGGCUCGAAUACAAGAGCUCGAUCAUAGAUGAGUCAGCGGAAGCAACAAUAUCUGAGUACAGACAUAAGUUAAACAAGUUUGCCUUAAGAAGGCUAGCACAAACUGGGAUACAGAUCGAAAGAGGCACAUGCCUCCUGCUUGGGAUCCUCCUAAACUACUCCUGGUCGUCGCCAACGGGCUGCACGUAGUAGUAGGCACCUCCCGAGUAGUAGUAGUCGUCAUCAACAGUGGCGUCUGGUUCCUGGACUCCAUCGUCUGGUCGCGGCAAUCGGGUAUAGAAAGGGGGGAAAAGAGGGAGCAAAGCAACCGUGAGUACUCAUCCAAAGUACUCACAAGCAAGGAGCUACACUACAUAUGUAUGCAUUGGUAUCAAAUGGAAUAAGGGUAUCAUAUGUGGACUGAACUACAGAAUGCCGGAAUAAGAGGGGGAUAGCUAGUCCUAUCGAAGACUACGCUUCUGGCCACCUCCAUCUUGCAGCAUGUAGAAGCGAGCAGAAGGUAAGUUCACCAAGUAGCAUCGUGUAGCAUAAUCCUAAACGAUGAUCCUCCCCUCGUCGCCCUGUGAGAGAGCGAUCACCGGUUGUAUCUGGCACUUGGAUGGGUGUGUUUUAUUAAGUAUCGGGUUCUAGUUGUCAUAAGGUCAAGGUACAACUCCAAGUCGUCCUGUUACCGAAGAUCACGGCUAUUCGAAUAGAUUAACUUCCCUGCAGGGGUGCACCACAUUUCCCAACACGCUCGAUCCCCUUUGUCCGGACACACUUUCCUGGGUCAUGCCCAGCAUCGGAAGAUCAACACGUCGCAGCCCUACCUAGGCACAACAGAGAGGUUAGCACGCCGGUCUAAAUCCUAUGGCGCAGGGGUCUGGGCCCAUCGCGCAUUGCACACCUGCACGUUGCGAGGGCGGCCGGAAGCAGACCUAGCCUAUCAGGCGUUCCAAUCCAAUCCGGCACGCACCGCUCAGUUGCUGAUGCCACGAAGGCUUUGGCUGAUACCACGACGUCGAGUGCCCAUAAUUGUCCCCCUGUAGAUGGUUAGUGCGUAUAGGCCAGUGGCCAGACUCAGAUCAAAUACCCAGAUCUCGUUAAGCGUGUUAUUUUGAAGUAACCACGGAUGACGACCAGGGCCAGGCCCACCUCUCUCCUAGGUGGUCUCAACCUGCCCUGUCACUCCGCCACAAGUAACCAUCAGGGGGCUGUCGGGAACCUAGGCCCAUCACUACCUGGAUGGAACCACCUGCCCCUUCAGCCCCCAUCUCCGAACAGAAAACAUAAGUAUGUAACAGUAUACAGUAUAAGUGCCCGUGAUCACCUCCUGAAGUGAUCACGAACCAGUAGUAUAGCAUGGCAGACGGAAAAGAAUGUAGGGCCUUUGAUGAAAUACUACCAUCCUAUACUAAGCAUUUAGGAUUGCAGGUAAAGGUAACAACAGUAGUAGCAAAGACAGGCUAUGCAUCAGGAUAGGAUUAACGGAAAGCAAUAACAUGCUACACUACUCUAAUGCAAGCAGUAGAGAGAAGAGUAGGCGAUAUCUGGUGAUCAAGGGGGGGGGGGCUUGCCUGGUUCCUCUGGCAAGAGAGAGGGGUCGUCAACACCGUAGUCGUACUAGGUAGCAGCGGCGUCAAUCUCAGUGUCUAGCGAGAGAAGAGGUGGAAGAAAGAAUAAAUAUUAAGUAAACAGAUACAUAGCGAUGCAUGACAUGACAAGUAUCGGUGCUAGGGGUGCCCUAACGCGGUAUGAAGUGGUACCGGUGAAGGGGGAAAACAUCCAGGAAAGUAUUCCCGGUGUUUUCGCGUUUUCGGACAGAUGAACCGGAAGGGGAAAGUUCCGUGUUUGCCAUGCUAGGGAUGUGUGGCAGACUAACGGGCCGCGUAACCGGAUUCGUCUCGUCGUUCUGAGCAACAUUCAUGUACAAAGUUUUUCCAUCUGAGCUACGGUUUAUUUUAUAUUAAUUUUUUAAGUUUUAAAUCAUUUUCUAGAAAUAACAGAAUUAAUUUAGUACUAAAAUACAUUUCUGAUGUCAGCAUGAUGUCAGCACGACGUCAUCAGUCAACCAGUCAGUUGACUGGGUCAAACUGACGCAUGGGUCCUACUGUCAUUGACUAAGACUAAUUAAAUAGGCUAAUUAGUUUAAUUAGUUGUCUAGUUUAAUUAAUCAAAAUUAAUUAAGUUAAUUAAUUCUUCAAUUAAUUAAUUAUUUUUAUUUUUAUUAUAUUUUUUAUUCUUUUUUUAUGGAAGUGUUUUAGGGUGUGGGCCCCUCGUGUCAUAGAGUCAGGGCCUUAACGGGCGCGGGCGCUGGGCUGACCGGGGCUUUGCCCCGGUCGUGCAGGCACGUGCGCCUGGCGCCUUAGCGCGCGGUCGGGGGGAAGGGGACGUGUGUGGUCCAGCACCGGCGACCGUGGCCGGUGCAGGGCGGCGCGGCGAGGCCGACCGGAGCUGAAGGGGGCGCGAUGGCAGGUGCGCGGGGCGCCAGAGGCCCGAUCAGAGGCGGCGAUGCGUGCGGGGGCNNNNNNNNNNNNNNNNNNNNNNNNNNNNNNNNNNNNNNNNNNNNNNNNNNNNNNNNNNNNNNNNNNNNNNNNNNNNNNNNNNNNNNNNNNNNNNNNNNNNNNNNNNNNNNNNNNNNNNNNNNNNNNNNNNNNNNNNNNNNNNNNNNNNNNNNNNNNNNNNNNNNNNNNNNNNNNNNNNNNNNNNNNNNNNNNNNNNNNNNNNNNNNNNNNNNNNNNNNNNNNNNNNNNNNNNNNNNNNNNNNNNNNNNNNNNNNNNNNNNNNNNNNNNNNNNNNNNNNNNNNNNNNNNNNNNNNNNNNNNNNNNNNNNNNNNNNNNNNNNNNNNNNNNNNNNNNNNNNNNNNNNNNNNNNNNNNNNNNNNNNNNNNNNNNNNNNNNNNGGGGGAACGGGUCGGGCGCGCGGUGACAAGGGAAGAGGGGAGGGGAGGAGGGCGCGUGCUCACAGGGGUGCUGCAGGGGUUCGGGCAGCGGGGGGACGAGGAGGUGGACGGGGACGACCGGCGAGGAAGGCGGAAACGGGGAGGCAGCUCCGGUGAGGUGGCUUUGGCGACGUAGUCAAGCGCCGGGGGCGAGAUCCAUGGCGGCAACGACGACGUCGGCACUGGCGCGGGCUGUGUUGAGCCCCGAUCCAGAUCCGGGGGGUGAUGGCGGUAGGCGGUGGUGACCGGGCGGCGCCGUUGCGGUGGUGCCGGCGUUGGGGCGCCGUGGAGCGUGGUCGACGCGGUCGUGCCCCGAUCCAGAAGGGGAUCGGGGAGUGGGGGGAGUGUGUGGGGAGUGGGAUGGGCGAGUGGGGAUAGGGUUUCGGGGAUGGGGAGAUAAGGGAAGUGGGGGUGCCAGUUGGGCCUUUUGGCCGGUUGGGCCUUUUUUGCUAAAUGGGCCAAAGGGCCCAGUAGAUUAGGUUUCUUUUCUGUUUACUAGUAUUUUUCCAUUUACUUUUUGUUUAUUUAUUUAGCUAUUGUUUUGUAUUUUCUUUUAGCAUCAAAAUAUUUUUGUAAAAAGUUAAACCUUGUCAUAUAAUUACUAUGCAUUAUUGUGCACUGCCACAACAAGUUUGGGGUUCAAAAUAAUUUAUUAAGUUUGAGUUUAUUUUUAAAUGGGAUAAAAAGGUGUUGUUGGUCCACUGUUUUAAUAUCCAGGGGC
rnacentral:lncRNA from 1 species